AGAGUUUGAUCAUGGCUCAGGAUGAACGCUGGCGGCAUGCCUAACACAUGCAAGUCGAACGGGGUUUAUAUGACAGAACUCUCCGGAGGGAAGAUUAUAAACCUAGUGGCGGACGGGUGAGUAACGCGUGGGCAACCUGCCCUGUACCGGGGGACAACAGCCAGAAAUGGCUGCUAAUACCGCAUAAGCCUGCUGUGCCGCAUGGCACAGCAGGGAAAACCACGGUGGUACAGGAUGGGCCCGCGUCUGAUUAGUUAGUUGGCAGGGUAACGGCCUACCAAGACAACGAUCAGUAGCCGGCUUGAGAGAGUGGACGGCCACAUUGGGACUGAGACACGGCCCAGACUCCUGCGGGAGGCAGCAGUGGGGAAUAUUGCACAAUGGGGGGAACCCUGAUGCAGCAAUGCCGCGUGGGUGAAGAAGCACUCCGGUGCGUAAAGCCCUGUCAGCAGGGAAGAAAAUGACAGUACCUGGACAAGAAGCCCCGGCUAACUACGUGC
rnacentral:rRNA from 1 species